rfam:Otolemur garnettii contig021268, whole genome shotgun sequence.
GCACCUGUAGCUCAGUGGCUAGGGCACCAGUCACAUACACUGGAGCUGGUGGGUUCAAAUCCAGUCCAGGGCCU